rnacentral:tRNA from 1 species
GACAUCUUAUUGGACUCGAACCAAUAAUUUUUUGCUUCGAAGGCAAAUGCUUUACCAUUCAGCUAAAGAUGU